rnacentral:lncRNA from 10 species
AAAAAAAGUAUCUUCAUUGCCUUAAAAAUUACAAAGGUAAUAGAUAUAUGGAAAUUCCAAACAACAUAAAAAUGAGUAAAGCAGAAAAAGCCUUGAAAUGAGGCAAGUUUAGGAAAGGAUAAGAGUCAGAGAUAUCUAUAAUAAAAAACCACUGAUGACACUUUGAUGGAGGUCAAGUGUUCUGUCUCAGUAGUCCUAGGGCAGGGGCCACAGCUGUCCAGCUUUCUAACUUGCAUUAGGACUCAUGUCACUGCCUUACUGCUUCUUGGGUUAGCUAUAUAGGUAUUUCCCAUACAAGCCUCUGUCCUCCCUUGUGUAAAGAGCCCCAGGACAGCAGGAUGGUUCAGUGGAAAAAGGUCAAGGUAAGUAUCAGGCCCAGGUUCAAACCUUGCUCUGCACUGAGUAGGUCACUGAGCUUUCCAGUUUGUUUCUUCAUUUGCACCUGUGGAUAAAAACCACAAGGAUUAGACAGCUAGCUUUGGUAGUAAGGAGUUCAGUAAGUGGAAGCUAUUAUGAUUACCACCCUCAGGUAGUUCUAGUUUGAACUUCAGGACCUCAAAAAUAGUAACUCAGAUUUUCAGACGUCAGCAUAGGCAGCUCCAGGGGAAGUUCCUAUGGACAAACCUUAAUGAGCUCAGAAAGCUGGUUUUGCAUGCCGGAGCAACCAACAACAGACAAGUUGCCUUCAUGGGCCUUUGAAAUCUGUUACAAAGUUGAGCAACCAUCCCAAAAAGAAACAUUGAAGAUUUAGUUUUCAAAAGCAUCGUUCAUCUCAGAAGAGUGCUUGUAUCGCCUAUUCUACCAAACAGGAUGUUGUUAUGUAAACUUCAGGAUCUAUUGAGAAACUCUCCAAGUGGGAAGUCCCUGGCCUCGUGGGAAAAGAGAGUAAUUGUAUUAACUAAUUAGCAAAGGAUCACUUCACACAUAUCAGGCAAUACUAUUUAGAGAAAGGAUUAUUUAACUCAGACUAAUACGGGAGUUUUCACACUCCUAGGUAUAUAUUUUAUGCCUCAAAGAUCCUCUGCAGCAAAAGUAUUGCAGUCCUGGAGGGCACUUGUUAAUAUUAAAAACAAAUGAAAACAACUCAGAUCAAUCUAAUUGUUAUUAUCCAGUAGUUUUGUUUAGAAGAGUCACAGAAGUAGGCAUUUAGAUUGUCAAAACAAAAGUUCAUAGAACAGGGUAGAUAAUUUAAACAUGUGCUAUCUUAGUCUCUCCUAGAUUAGAUUUUCAUUGCCUACAUGUUUGCCUACAUGUUUGCAUAUCAGCAAUGCCAUCAUAAAUGUCUGAAUCAACGUGGCUGAAAGAAACACCACUAAGAUUGAACUGAAGACUCCUAGAAGAAAACAGAUAACAGCAGAAAUAGCCCUGAGAGAUCAAAUUGCUUUUUAUUCCAUGGACAUCAUGAUUUGACACAGAAAGGGUCUUGCUUCCGUCACCCAGGCUGGAGUGAAGUGGUGCCAUCUCUGCUUAGUGCAAACUCUGCCUUCUGGGCUCAAGUGAUCCUGUCAUCUCAGCCUCCCAAGAAGCUGGGGCUACAGGCCCGUGCCACAACCCCAGCUAAUUUUUGUAUUUUUUGUAGAGAUGGGGGUUUUGCCGUGUUGGCUGGACUGGUCUGAAAUUCUUGGGCUCAAGCGAUCCACCCACCCCAGCCUCCCAAAUGUUGGAAUUACAGGUGUGAGGCACUGUGCCCGGUCCCAACAAGGCCUUUGAAUAUGUAACUAGUAUUCCACUUAAAAAAUAUGCAAGGCAAAUAGCCUCAUCGAUUGUAACUCUAAAAUGAGUAUAUAUGAAAAUGUUAGGCAUUGUUCACUAAAAAUUAAAAAUAAUUGUUUCCUGUUAAAUGAAAGUAUGGAAAAUGAUGGUUACUGCAUAAGUCAGUUUCUUUAAAUAUAACCAUACCUUUACCAGAAACCAAAAAACAUCCCAGGAAAUAGACUUUCUAGAAUUGUCUUCUGAGCUAAAUUCCAGUCUAGGAUGAUCAACUGUUCCAUUUUUCCUGGGACAAAGUUUUCCCAGGACUUUAAGGCUAAAAAUGGGAAAGUUGUUGGUAAACUGGGCAGAGUUUCUACAUAUGACACACAUAUGGCUCUUUUGCCCAGGGAUUUUAGCCUUUUUUGCUUCUAGCAAUUUGUUACAGACUUAUGGGAGCUCACAGUAACCCUUAGGGUAAAAGGAAAGUCUGAUGAAUUAAAAGUGAAUGGAUCUAAUGUUAUUAGCAAUAUUAUUUAUUAUAGUCAAAAAGUGAGAACAAUCCAAAUGUUUGUCAACUGCUAAGUGGGUGAAGAAAAUGUGGCAUAUUCAUAUAAUAGAGUAUUAUUCAGAAAUAAAAUGGAAUGAAGUACUGACACACGCUACAACCUGGAUAAACCCUGAAGACAUUGUGCUAAGUAAAGAAGCCAGACACAAAAGACCACAUAUUGUAUGAUUCAUUUAUAUGAAAUGUCCAGAGUUGGCAGUAAAGACAAAGUAGAUUAGUGGUUACCAGGGACUGUCGGGAGGGGGAAUGAGGAGCGGCUGUUAAUGGGUCGGGGUUUCUUUUUUUUUGGGUGAUGAAAAUGCUCUGGAAUUCGAUAGCAGUGCUGGUUGCACAACUGUAAAUAUACUAAAAGCCUCUGAAUAGCACGC